GAAGAAAGCACACAAAAAAUAUGUCCAUGACUUCAAAGAAGUUACCAAGGAUGAAGGUGUUGUAAAAAUCAUUAAAGCUUUGGUUGAGAUGACAAAUAACUUUAAUUUGAGUAAACGGGAUUGACAAUGAUGAGAUCAGAGAAGUAACUCUUAAGGAAUUAAGUAAUGAGUUAUUGGAACAGAGCAGAAUACACAGCUGGAGACUUUAGUGUUUUGAGAGCUGUAAGAGAGUGGAAGACACUGGAAAAAAAAGAAAAGUCAUUGAAGAUAAAUAAAACAGUAAUGAGGCAC
rnacentral:lncRNA from 1 species